rnacentral:tRNA from 1 species
AGCAUAUUAGCUCAACUGGUCGAGCACUUUUUAUUGGUUUGAUGUAUUGGUACUUCAAACCAAUACAAAGAAGAUGUAGGUUCAAAUCCUACAUAGGAUA